rnacentral:rRNA from 1 species
GCCUGCCCUGUGACUAUAAGUUUAACGGCCGCGGUAUUUUGACCGUGCGAAGGUAGCGUAAUCACUUGUCUUUUAAAUGGAGACCCGUAUGAAUGGCACGACGAGGGCUUAACUGUCUCCUUUCUCAAGUCAAUGAAAUUGAUCUCCCCGUGCAGAAGCGGGGAUAAACCCAUAAGACGAGAAGACCCUAUGGAGCUUUAGACACAAGGCAGAUCAUGUCAAACACCCCUGGACAAAGGACUAAACCCUAUGAACCCUGCCCUAAUGUCUUUGGUUGGGGCGACCGCGAGGAAAAAGAACCCUCGUGCGGACUGGGGGCACACCCCCUAUCACCCAGAGCUCCCGCUCUAAUAAUCAGAAAUUCUGACCAGACAGAUCCGGUGUUAACCGAUCAACGGACCGAGUUACCCUAGGGAUAACAGCGCAAUCCCCUUUCAGAGCCCAUAUCGACGAGGGGGUUUACGACCUCGAUGUUGGAUCAGGACAUCCUAAUGGUGCAGCCGCUAUUAAGGGUUCGUUUGUUCAACGAUUAAAGUCCUACGUGAU